rnacentral:rRNA from 1 species
UACGUAGGGGGCAAGCGUUGUUCGGAUUUACUGGGCGUAAAGGGCGCGUAGGCGGCGCGUAAAGUCGGACAUGAAAUCAUUAGGCUCAACCUAAUGGCUGUGUCCGAUACUUACGUGCUUGGAGUGCGGGAGAGGCAGCCGGAAUUCUCGGUGUAGCGGUGGAAUGCGUAGAUAUCGAGAGGAACACCGGUGACGAAGGUGGGUUGCUGGACCGACACUGACGCUGAGGCGCGAAAGCUAGGGGAGCGAAUGGG